rnacentral:rRNA from 1 species
CCUACGGGCGGCAGCAGUGGGGAAUAUUGCACAAUGGGGGAAACCCUGAUGCAGCGACGCCGCGUGAGUGAAGAAGUAUUUCGGUACGUAAAGCUCUAUCAGCAGGGAAGAAAAUGACGGUACCUGACUAAGAAGCCCCGGCUAACUACGUGCCAGCAGCCGCGGUAAUACGUAGGGGGCAAGCGUUAUCCGGAUUUACUGGGGGUAAAGGGAGCGUAGACGGUAGUGCAAGUCUGGAGUGAAAGGCAGGGGCUUAACCCCGGAACUGCUUUGGAAACUGUGCGGCUGGAGUGCAGGAGGGGUAAGUGGAAUUCCUAGUGUAGCGGUGAAAGGCGUAGAUAUUAGGAGGAACACCAGUGGCGAAGGCGGCUUACUGGACUGUAACUGACGUUGAGGCUCGAAAGCGUGGGGAGCAAACAGGAUUAGAUACCCUUGUAGUC